GACGAACGCUGGCGGCGUGCUUAACACAUGCAAGUCGAACGGAAAGGCCCUGCUUUUGUGGGGUGCUCGAGUGGCGAACGGGUGAGUAACACGUGAGUAACCUGCCCUUGACUUUGGGAUAACUUCAGGAAACUGGGGCUAAUACCGGAUAGGAGCUCCUGCUGCAUGGUGGGGGUUGGAAAGUUUCGGCGGUUGGGGAUGGACUCGCGGCUUAUCAGCUUGUUGGUGGGGUAGUGGCUUACCAAGGCUUUGACGGGUAGCCGGCCUGAGAGGGUGACCGGCCACAUUGGGGCUGAGAUACGGCCCAGACUCCUACGGGAGGCAGCAGUGGGGAAUAUUGCACAAUGGGCGGAAGCCUGAUGCAGCAACGCCGCGUGCGGGAUGACGGCCUUCGGGUUGUAAACCGCUUUCGCCUGUGACGAAGCGUGAGUGACGGUAAUGGGUAAAGAAGCACCGGCUAACAACGUG
rnacentral:rRNA from 1 species